UACAGAGGUGGCAAGCGUUGUUCGGAAUUACUGGGCGUAAAGGGCGCGUAGGCGGUCUUGCAAGUCCUGUGUGAAAUCCCUCGGCUCAACUGAGGAACUGCACAGGAAACUGCUUGGCUUGAGUUCGGGAGAGGGAAGCGGAAUUCCUGGUGUAGCGGUGAAAUGCGCAGAUAUCAGGAAGAACACCCGUGGCGAAGGCGGUUCUCUGGGACGGUACUGACGCUGAGACGCGAAAGCGUGGGGAGCGAACAGG
rnacentral:rRNA from 1 species